GAUGAACGCUAGCUACAGGCUUAACACAUGCGAGUCGCGGGGCAGCAUGGGGGUUGCUUGCAAUCCCCGAUGGCGACCGGCGCACGGGUGAGUAACGCGUAUCCAACCUGCCCUUCACCACGGGAUAACCCGGCGAAAGUCGGACUAAUACCGUAUGUUGUCCAUUGACGGCAUCCGAUUUGGACGAAAGGUUUGGCGGGGAAGGAUGGGGAUGCGUCCGAUUAGCUGGACGGCGGGGUGACGGCCCACCGUGGCGACGAUCGGUAGGGGUUCUGAGAGGAAGGUCCCCCACACUGGAACUGAGACACGGUCCAGACUCCUACGGGAGGCAGCAGUGAGGAAUAUUGGUCAAUGGGCGUAAGCCUGAACCAGCCAAGUAGCGUGCAGGAUGACGGCCCUAUGGGUUGUAAACUGCUUUUAUGCGGGGAUAAAGUGGCCCACGUGUGGGUUUUUGCAGGUACCGCAUGAAUAAGGACCGGCUAAUUCCGUG
rnacentral:rRNA from 1 species